rnacentral:rRNA from 1 species
AGAGUUUGAUCAUGGCUCAGGAUGAACGCUGGCGGCGUGCCUAACACAUGCAAGUCGAGCGAUCUCUUCGGAAGAGAGCGGCGGACGGGUGAGUAACGCGUGGGUAACCUGCCUCAUACACAUGGAUAACAUACCGAAAGGUAUGCUAAUACAAGAUGAUAUAAGAGAUUCGCAUGGAUUUCUUAUCAAAGCUCCGGCGGUAUGAGAUGGACCCGCGUCUGAUUAGCUAGUUGGUAAGGUAACGGCUUACCAAGGCAACGAUCAGUAGCCGACCUGAGAGGGUGAUCGGCCACAUUGGAACUGAGACACGGUCCAAACUCCUACGGGAGGCAGCAGUGGGGAAUAUUGCACAAUGGGCGAAAGCCUGAUGCAGCAACGCCGCGUGAGCGAUGAAGGCCUUCGGGUCGUAAAGCUCUGUCCUCAAGGAAGAUAAUGACGGUACUCGAGGAGGAAGCCCCGGCUAACUACGUGCCAGCAGCCGCGGUAAUACGUAGGGGGCUAGCGUUAUCCGGAUUUACUGGGCGUAAAGGGUGCGUAGGUGGUUUCUUAAGUCAGGAGUGAAAGGCUACGGCUCAACCGUAGUAAGCUCUUGAAACUGGGAAACUUGAGUGCAGGAGAGGAAAGUGGAAUUCCUAGUGUAGCGGUGAAAUGCGUAGAUAUUAGGAGGAACACCAGUAGCGAAGGCGGCUUUCUGGACUGUAACUGACACUGAGGCACGAAAGCGUGGGGAGCAAACAGGAUUAGAUACCCUGGUAGUCCACGCCGUAAACGAUGAGUACCAGGUGUCGGGGGUUACCCCCCUCGGUGCCGCAGCUAACGCAUUAAGUACUCCGCCUGGGGAGUACGCUCGCAAGAGUGAAACUCAAAGGAAUUGACGG